rnacentral:lncRNA from 10 species
GAGCUAGCUCAUGGGAAAAAAAUGUCUCUCGGGCUGUGAGCAGUGAAUUGGCUUGUGCCCAAGUAAUGUCCUCAAGGUGUGCCAUGAGAGAUGAAGUCACUUGGCUCAUUUUACCAGCUUCAGGAUGGCAUUAAGACCUGACAAAGCCAGGCAACACGUACAAGGAAACUAACCUGAGGCAGGACCGUGGCACUGAAGGAGUCUCCCUGGAUGCAGCAAAGGUGGAGACCUUGUCCAAGAAAAAUGCUGGACGGGCCUUUACCCCAAAGAGGAAAGCUGGGUCAUGGAACAAGGAAAUGAAUUACAUCAAGUGAAAAUGCACAUCUGAUGCCCAGUCCAGACCAAGCACGUCUGUUCCUGCUGACUUCGAAUGAUUGUCAAGUGGCUGGACUCAGAUGUUAGCCGUCUGUCAUUGCUGCUAAUAACAUAUUCAUGUACAAAAACAACAGAGGGGUAUCUAGGCAGCUGGAGCCCUCUGUGUUCCGGACUACAGAUUCGGGGACCCAAAGGUGAGUCCAACUCAUGUGACUUUUGUUCAUCAGUAGCACAGUAGAUUUGAUUGUUACUUUUCCUGAGCACUUACUCAAUUUCUAGCGACAACUUUUAUUUUCAUGGUCUGAACAUUUGAUGAUCUCUUUAAGCAACUGAUGGUUUAUAGAGGUAAUUGUCUCUGUUGAGUGAAAGGUGACAGAAUUUAGCUAGAAUCUCCUCUCUGUCUGUCUAUUUUUAGUUCAAAUCUAUUAAGAAUAUUAUGCCAACCAGGAAGUUAAUAUCUGGACUGGCGGGUUUUGUAUUUGUUGGUUUAUAUUUGACAUCUGACUGAAAUUUUAGAAAUGAAAUUAUAAGCUUUCUCUGUGAGUAUGUCUGUAUUUAGAAAGUCCUUUACUUCUCAUCGUGUGAGUGUAUAAU